GCAGUGGUUCAAUGGUAGAACACACACCUCACAUGUGGGAGAGCUGGGUUCAAUUCCUGGUCAAUGCC
rnacentral:tRNA from 1 species